UGGGGAAUCUUCCGCAAUGGACGAAAGUCUGACGGAGCAACGCCGCGUGAGUGAUGACGGCCUUCGGGUUGUAAAGCUCUGUUAAUCGGGACGAAUGGUUCUUGUGCGAAUAGUGCGAGGAUUUGACGGUACCGGAAUAGAAAGCCACGGCUAACUACGUGCCAGCAGCCGCGGUAAUACGUAGGUGGCAAGCGUUGUUCGGAAUUAUUGGGCGUAAAGCGCGCGCAGGCGGAUUGGUCAGUCUGUCUUAAAAGUUCGGGGCUUAACCCCGUGAUGGGAUGGAAACUGCCAAUCUAGAGUAUCGGAGAGGAAAGUGGAAUUCCUAGUGUAGCGGUGAAAUGCGUAGAUAUUAGGAAGAACACCAGUGGCGAAGGCGACUUUCUGGACGAAAACUGACGCUGAGGCGCGAAAGCCAGGGGAGCGAACGGG
rnacentral:rRNA from 1 species